UACGUAGGGGGCAAGCGUUGUCCGGAUUUAUUGGGCGUAAAGAGCGUGUAGGCGGCCAGGCAGGUCCGUUGUGAAAACUCGAGGCUCAACCUCGAGACGUCGAUGGAAACCGUCUGGCUAGAGUCCGGAAGAGGAGAAUGGAAUUCCUGGUGUAGCGGUGAAAUGCGCAGAUAUCAGGAAGAACACCCGUGGCGAAGGCGGUUCUCUGGGACGGUACUGACGCUGAGACGCGAAAGCGUGGGGAGCGAACAGG
rnacentral:rRNA from 1 species